GGUGCGCAUACACUCCAUGAGCCUGAGACCAGAAGAUUUUUUCACUAGCAGUGUCGGUUGGUCUGCAACUGCACCCUGUGCAACGAACUGAGGACACAAGGGGUUGGGCAGACCAACAGCAUCUCCAGCUCCAGCUCCUUCUCUACUACAAAUUAUCUUAGGGAAGGAUUCAAAGCAGAGGGAAAGGAAGGAAGGUCAUGGAAUACCCAUAGAGAUCUCACAUCUCAAAAAACUCCAGUUACUGUAAGAUAUCUUCCUGCUGUUAUGGAGAACAGUUUGAGCCUCUUCAGAGGAUGACCCCUUUGUGUCCACUGUCCACCCAAAUACCAGGCUGUGAGGUGGAGGGCUAUUGGCUUGGGAUGGUUGAGCUUGCCCUCAUUCUGCAGGUUCAGAAAUGGCUGGAUGCGUAUGUGUAGAUGUGAAAGCAUCUGGGAAAUGCCGGUAAAACAAAAUUGUCUUGGCCAUCAGGGAGCCACUAAGAUUAUUGAUACUCUAUCCUGCUUGAUUUUCCUCAGGACUCAAGAGAAAUGGGCUGUAGAAAUAUUGGCUCCCACUAGGGACUGCUGGACCCAGCAGAGCCCAGCUCACGAGGCUGCAGGAAGGGGGAGCAAACUGGAGGGUUCCCAGAAGCUGCAAUUCCUUGCACACACUGAAGGAAGGAGGCAGCAGCACACAGAAAACUCCGAUAAACAAGAGCUCUAAACUGCACAAGAAUUUGAUUGGAUUUGGCAACCAUUAUGCUAGACAUCUGUACUCUCACAAACCGUUCCUACACGUUUAUACACUGAAUUAGUCUUUCAUUAUGCAGCUGAACUCCAAAUAAACAAAAGGAUUGCACAAUUUGUUACUUUUGUAGGCCGAACACAUUACACAUACCAGGGCCUCCUUUCAUUCCUCCAUUUCCCCCGCACCUUCAACAAGCUCCCUGUGAGCCACCUUCCCAUCCCUAUUUCAGGGACUCCAAGCAACCUGCCUCCAACACUUUUCUCCCUCAUGCCAUGGUCUCUAUGUAUCCCCCCCCACUGCUACAUGCUAGGGGCUCAUUGUGCCCCUCCGAUUCCCUCCUCCACCACAUGCAGAGGGUCAAUGUGCCCAUUCCCCCACAUGCCAAGGUCUCUGUGUUGCCCAUGUUCCCAUACAAGGGUCCCCUGUUCUUCCUUCUCUGCCAGAGGCCUUCUCCAAAAUGGCAGGGUCUCUCUCUACUGCUUCAUUUCUCCUUCCCCAUAUUUUCCCCUUCUUUACCAUGGCAGGGGCGCUGUGUCAACCUCACUCUUCCCCACCUCAUGCCAGCAACCUGUGUGGCUCCCAUGGCCCCCAUACCAUUGUCCCCCAUUUUCCUCCUCAGGCCCGGGGCUUUGUGUCCCCCCACAUUCCAUCCACCUUCUUAAUGCCUUAGAGAUACAAACAGAAAUGCCAUCACAUGGAAUGUUAGACCUUGCUUUGCUCAGCCAUAAAGUAUAAUAAAGAGCAAAUGUCUUCAUGAAAAGAAAAGGAGUACUUGUGGCACCUUAGAGACUAACAAAUUUAUUUGAGCAUAAGCUUUCGUAGCUCUGUAAAUGCUUUCAUUUCCUACUUUAUGCCCUAGCAGUAUGUUAGCUUUAAUGAAAAUAGGUUUCAGAGUAGCACCCGUGUUAGUCUGUAUUCGCAAAAAAGAAAAGGAGUACUUGUGGCACCUUAGAGACUAACAAAUUUAUUUGAGCAUAAGCUUUCACGAAAGCUUAUGCUCAAAUAAAUCUGUUAGUCUCUAAGGUGCCACAAGUACUCCUUUUCUUUUUUUAAAUGAAAAUGUUUCUCGUGAUGCAGUAGCUCUUAAACUAGGCUUGGUGUGUUAAAAUAUUUAGAUUAAUAUUUGUGGUAGCUAGAAAGAAAAUUGUGCUCAUCCAAUAUAAAUACACAAAUAGCAACUGUUUUUGUUUGCUGUAUUAUAAAACUUAAGUGAUGUUUUUAAAUUUAGUUCCAACUUGCAAAUAAUACCCUUUUCAGAGCAAGCUUCACUUAAUUUUCCAGUCUUACUAGAAGAAUACUUCUAAAACUUAAAUGAGUAAUUUUACAUAAAGCAUUAAAGGAAAUAUUAAGUGGGUGAAGACAACAGUCUCUACUUGUAAAAAAAUAGCUGAUGCAGUCAUUCAGUUGCAGUCAUGAAAAAAUACUAAAUUCUAUGAGACUUACAAACUGAUCUUCAUUUUAGAAGCAAAGUAUUAAACAAAAUAUUACUACCAGAGAGUGCAUAUGGGUCAAAAGUUACAUUAUGAGCAACACAAUGUGUUUCUUUUACUUGAUAAGUAAAACUAGCUAACAAAUUAUAGUUUCUAAUUAAGAACAUUUUCUGUCAGAUACCAUACAAUGUCCCAGCCUAGUUGACUUCCUUUUUUUUCCUUUCUGUACAAUAUCUGACAGCUCAUACUUAGAUGCAGACAGUUAGUUCAAUCCCAGUUAAGCAGUAUCCAGAAAAGAGCUGAACAUAUCAACCACCAAUCAAUCCAUUACAAGAAGUCUCAUCAUACUUUCCAUCCUGUGAGUAGAAGGUAGAGCACUCCACCAGAUCACCAUCUAGGAGUGCAAAAUGAAAGAGUGCUGCUUUGUGGAAUUCUUCCUUGCAUAAACUCCUGCUGGAUUGGACAUUUAUACAUGGGCUGGGAGCAGGACUUGGGAGACUGCCAUGCAAAUGGCACAGUAUUCUGACCCAAUCCUGUAGAAUGUUUCUGGGCAAGUUAUUGCUGAUACUAAGGUGGUUUUACAUCAUCUAUCAAAGCAUAUGGUCUGACGUGCUAUGUCAAUUCCUAUGUUCCUGAUCACAGUGCAGAAAAGUGCAUUUCUGGGGAGAAAAAUCUGUACACUUAUGCAUCAAUAACUAUACAGUAGCCCUGCAUUCUGGAUAGCUGAAACAAUUCCAUGUCAAUAUAAACAGCAUUAAACACAUAAUAGAACUAUCAACAGCAUACUGUUUCUUACAGAUAAUUUACAGAUUUCAUUGGAGUUGAAUAACUAACAAAUCCUAUAAUCUGCACUUUUGGUCAGUUACAUUGUUUCUUCUUUUAAGUGAGAUCUAUAAAACUAUGGGAAUACUCUUGCAAGGGAAAUGGUAGAAACUAAACUAGACAAAACUCUAGAAAAGAUUCACUAGGGAACAAUCCUGGACUACGUGGAGGAUGUACCAAAUUACCUAAUAGGCUUUUACCAUCCCUAACUUCUGUUCCUACAGUUUCCUACCUAGUAACUGAUGGAUUUC